UACAGAGACUGCAAGCGUUAUUCGGAUUCACUGGGCGUAAAGGGUGCGCAGGCGGCCGAGUGUGUGAGGCGUGAAAGCCCGGGGCUUAACCCCGGAAUUGCACCUCAAACUACACGGCUAGAGCAUUGGAGAGGGUAGCAGAAUUCAUGGUGUAGCAGUGAAAUGCGUAGAUAUCAUGAGGAAUACCAGAGGCGAAGGCGGCUACCUGGACAGUUACUGACACUGAGGCUCGAAGGCCAGGGGAGCAAACGGG
rnacentral:rRNA from 1 species